rnacentral:tRNA from 1 species
GGUAAAAUGGCUGAGUAAUAGGCGAUAAGCUGUAAACUUAUUUACGAAUUAAAUUCUUUUGCC